CAGCAGCCACGGUAAUACGGAGGGAGCUAGCGUUGUUCGGAAUUACUGGGCGUAAAGCGCGCGUAGGCGGUUACUCAAGUCAGAGGUGAAAGCCCGGGGCUCAACCCCGGAACUGCCUUUGAAACUAGGUGACUAGAAUCUUGGAGAGGUCAGUGGAAUUCCGAGUGUAGAGGUGAAAUUCGUAGAUAUUCGGAAGAACACCAGUGGCGAAGGCGACUGACUGGACAAGUAUUGACGCUGAGGUACGAAAGCAUGGGGAGCAAACAGGAUUAGAUACCCCUGUAGUCCCUGUCUCUUAUAC
rnacentral:rRNA from 1 species